GGUUAGGCUGUUUGAUGGUGCCGGAUCAACUCUGAUCAAGACACUUCUCUCAGCAACUUGUUAAGAACCUUCUCACUAUUCUGGUGGUCCACAAGAUGACCUCCUUUUGUGCCUCUCCGAUUAGCUUUUCAUCUAGUUCCAGCUUAAUGGUGUUUUCGAAAAGAUGUGCCUCCACUAAUCCGUUUGUGGUUAUGACGAGGGGUAGGAUUGAUGUAGAGUAUCACAAUAUCCGGCCGGUUGUGCGCAAUGGGUCUGUCAGUGACGAGUGGAUGGUCCCAAUACAGUUUCAUCUCCUCAUUUUCCAGUAUUUCUUUAGGGCGAUGGCUUGGUGGUAUGCCUUUGCCAUGGCAUUGUGGCGGUCCGUGUAUUCCCUUGGAGCGAGGAUGGGGCAGGAUGACGUGACGUGUUGGAUUGUUUCAGUCGCCUGGGAGCAUUUGCGGCAUUUGUCAUUAGGUAAGUUCUUAUUCAUUAUCUGUUUUUGAUAUGCUUUUGUAGGUAUCACCUGAUCCUGAAUUGCCGCCAGUCUGCCCUCCGUUUCUGGAAACAGGGCGGUGGGGUAUCUUCCAUGGAGAGCUUUGCCGUGCCAUAUUUCGGAUAGUUCUUCGAUGCUUUUAGGUUCAAUGGGAUGGUUGCUUGAUGCCAGAUUUAAUGCUGUGAUGUUGUUGUCUUCAUCAGAUAUGGCUUUGAAAAAAGGGUGUCACAUAAUUUGGUGAGAUCUUGUUUGAACCGUUCCCCGAUGCUUUUGAUGCGGAAUUCGGAUGCUAUGCGUGCGACCUUUUUGGAUGUUUUUCUGCUUGGCGUUGUUUCCAUGGUGGUUCCUUGUCUUCUUUUGGUUUUGGCUGUCUACUGGUGAUAUGUAUUUUAUUUUCUUGACAAACUGUAACAGCUCCAGCAAAUACACAGUCUACCACUUCUUCGAGGGUGGAGUUUCUUUUUAGGGUUGA